CAGAAGCUGGAGCCAACAGUGGGAGCUCACCCCGCUCCCCGGAUUUGAACCGCCAACCUUUUGGUCAGCAAGUAGGUUUAACCCGCUGUGCUAUCGGGGGCUAGAUGUACUAUAUGUAUGUUCAUUUCACAUAAAUAAACAGAGGGGUGGAAUAGAGAGAAAGAAAAAAAGGACUUGCUGACAUGGAUUUCCCUGAUGUAUUACAGAGAAUUCUGGAUGAAUUUCAGUCCCAUGCAUUAAAACUCAAUCUAUUGACAGGCUUGGAGUUAUAAAGAAAAUUGACACCUAUUUUUCAUGAAUAGUUCUAUUACUCUGAUAAAUUUGGUUGGUCUAAUGGGAAAGCUUAAAGAAUAACUUUCAGCCCACAAUGGCUUUCCCCCCCUUUUGCCAAAUAAUAAGGUUCAGAAGGGCGUAACCUAAAAUAGUUAUUCCAUAAAAGAUUCACCCUUGAACAAAAACAUUGUGAAAGCAUGAAAUGAGGAAUAGAUGACAAUCAGAAUUUGACUUAAAGUGCUUUAUAGUAAUUAUUUUAAAAAGUAUUCACAAAAGACUCUUUUCAAUUGCAGAACAGCUCGCAAGGCCUGUAUGGUUCAAGGCCAAAUAAUUUCUGCAGCAGAGGGGAAAAAAAACCCCACCUUCAGUUCUUCAGCUUCGAUCUAAGAUUUGCAGCAAUGAAAUGAAAUGCACAGUGGAGGACAGGCUAAAAGUGACCUAGUUUCUUUUCCUUUUUAAAUAAUGGAGCUCUCUGAUGUUAUAGGGAGAAAGGAGCCGUCCUUGCUCUUCCCCUUCCCAGAAGAUGAAAGAGACGACUUUCCACAUGUAUGAUACUUGCUGGCUCACAACUUGAUACAAGGACAUCCCGCAGCUCAUUUUGCUCUCGUUUUUCGAUGACUAUAUCCUCGAGUCUCAACCAUGGUUUGUGGCAGCCACAAAAAUGAAGCUUCUGGAGUAUAACAAGUCCUUUCAAAGUAAGUACCACACAAUUAAACAGAAAAUAACACUUUCAAAACAGGAAUUUUUAUUUCCAAGUUCUUAUUUUGUUACAUAGUUUAAUUCUUUAUGGAUAUGUCACUCACUCAUAUUUGUUUCCUGACCCUUCCAAAAUUAAUAGGAUGGCAGGGUGAGGCUGAGUCAUGAUUCAUGAUGGCCAUGCACCCAUCAUGUGCUCUUAAAUUAGGAAUGGCAUAUCUCAUCCUGGACCAUUAAUGGCCAGACUGUUCCAUUAUGACACACAGUCCAGUGAGCUGAAUUUACCCUGCCUUCUGCUUGCAGGCACAUGACACAUUAAUGUGGAAGAGCUGGAGCUGAAUAUUGACAAGAUUAUUUUUUUUUAAAUUGCAUUCUUUGGCAAGCUCUUCAAUUGUGCACAGCUGUAAGACCAGUGUGUUUAUGAGCUACAUCUGUGCAAAAAUAUUGACUAUGACUCUUACCUUGGGAUAUAUGGCUAUAGGACAUCAAUGCAAUACUUUCCCAUCCAAUUUAUGAAAUCCGCCAUCUCUCUGGAGCAGCCCCUGAAUCCAGAUGUUUCCUGGUUGAUGGGGA
rnacentral:lncRNA from 1 species